CAAGUGGUAUAGUAUAAAAAUGCACCUAACUUCGCUGCCUUCAGUGUAACUUCAGCCAGUAGGAGGCAGUGUUUCAUCAUGCUCUGGUAGCACAUACUCCAAUGGCUUCUCUUACAUCAAACAUGGAGGAAGAAGCCAGCAAAAAAAAUUCCAAUUUACAGAUGAAGAAAAAAAUUAAUCACUAAGAAGCAAGAGACAGCAUCAAGCAGACCAAGCAUCCAGUCAAGCUACUCAAAGGGAAUCGUUCAGGACCAUCUGAUGAAGCCCUUUAUAUCAGGUAGUUCUCAUCACUAAAAUUUCCACAAGCAAAAUUCAUCUGUAUUUUUUAACGUUAAAUAUUGUAAUUUAACAUCA